rnacentral:lncRNA from 7 species
UUUUUCAGCUACGUAUUUUAAAAGAACUGUCCUUCAGCUCCCAAGUUGCCCAGUGGUCUUCAGUGAAAUCACAAGCUAGUUUUUCUGCCAGAAUCUACUGCCAAGCGGAACGUCGGAAACGAACAUUCCUUUCAGGCCGACGAAGAACUGUAGUGUUUUAGUGCCGCCUUGUGUUAAUACCUGCAAAUGCAGGUAAAAGAACUCACGAAGAUGAAUUUCAUUCUGCUCAGGCCUAAAUUCUUGAGUAACAUGCUCUCUAUGGCUGCCAACCCUGCCUCACUCAAUCUGAGAGCUCAGGUUCAUGCUAGAUUACUUCCACUUUACACAUUGUCAUCAGCAAUAAAGACUAGUCCAUGCGAUUUCUGUCCACUCAGAUACCCUUGGCCCUGCUUGGCUUUGCACACAUGCAGCUGUUGGAGGCUAUGGAAGUAUUUUUGCUGAAGCUGAAUAUGCUCUGCAGCUCAGCCUCUCUGCAUCCAGUCGCCUUGGAUAUCAAGGAGUAGCAAAGCAGGGAACAGGCCAUAAGCAAAAGCAAUUGUGGGGAAAAAAAAUGGAGAUGGAGAUUUGAUGUAAACAGUUGGAGAACCUGAACAAAUGGAUAGGAGAAAGCAAAAGGAAAAUAUAGAAGACAGAAGAUGUAGAGAACAGCAGAUCAUAUGAUGCGCCUUUAGAUCAUGCUAUUAUAGAAAGUGUUUGGACCCUGAGGGAAACAAUAAAAGGAACUAAUUAUAGCAGGUAAGGCUUAUAAAUCAGUCCUUGGGGAAAUACAUGUAUUAUUAUUUUUAAGGAGGAAGGGAGAAAGUGUGGUUUACAGAAAUGUAACUUCAUAGAAUACAAUUAAACCAUGGAAAUUACUGCUGCAGACUAGUCUAUUCAAAGAUUGCUCAUGGUAGAAAAGAACGUUCUGUAAAAGAGUUAUGCUUUGCUGUUUAGUCUGGUACAGAUAACACUGCUAAGGUUACUUUUAUCAGUCUUCAAAAUGUGAUGUAACAAAUAUUCAUCAGCUACAUUUUUGAAGAUACUUCCUUCUGUAACAUCAGGCAACACAAACACAAAAAUAAAUGUUCUAUACUUAUCU